CCUACGGGGGGCACCAGUGGGGGAUCUUGGACAAUGGGGGAAACCCUGAUCCAGCGACGCCGCGUGAGUGAAGAAGUAUUUCGGUAUGUAAAGCUCUAUCAGCAGGGAAGAAAGAAAUGACGGUACCUGAGUAAGAAGCCCCGGCUAACUACGUGCAAGCAGCCGCGGUAAUACGUAGGGGGCAAGCGUUAUCCGGAAUUACUGGGUGUAAAGGGAGCGUAGACGGUAAUGCAAGUCUGGAGUGAAAGGCGGGGGCCCACCCCCCGGACUGCUCUGGAAACUGUGUAACUGGAGUGCAGGAGAGGCAGGCGGAAGGCCUAGUGUAGCGGUGAAAUGCGUAGAUAUUAGGAGGAACACCGGUGGCGAAGGCGGCUUACUGGACCGUAACUGACGUUGAGGCUCGAAAGCGUGGGGAGCAAACAGGAUUAGAUACCCGUGUAGUC
rnacentral:rRNA from 1 species